GACGAACGCUGGCGGCGUGCUUAACACAUGCAAGUCGAACGGAAAGGCCUGCUUUCCCUUGUGGAUUGCGGGUACUCGAGUGGCGAACGGGUGAGUAACACGUGAGUGAUCUGCCCCCAACUUGGGUAUAAGCCUGGGAAACUGGGUCUAAUUCCCGAUAGGACUGCAGGGUGGUGCCUGUGGUGGAAAACGAUUUUCUAGUGGUUGGGGAUGAGCUCGCGGCCUAUCAGCUUGUUGGUGGGGUAAUGGCCUACCAAGGCGGCGACGGGUAGCCGGCCUGGGAGGGUGGACGGCCACAUUGGGACUGAGAUACGGCCCAGACUCCUACGGGAGGCAGCAGUGGGGAAUAUUGCACAAUGGGCGGAAGCCUGAUGCAGCGACGCAGCGUGGGGGAUGACGGCCUUCGGGUUGUAAACUCCUUUCGACCGCGAGGAAGCCACCUGGUUGGAAGGGUGGUGACGGUAGUGGUAGAAGAAGCACCGGCUAACUACGUG
rnacentral:rRNA from 1 species